ensembl:lncRNA
UUUAAAAAUCCCGGCUCACUGUGGGCGACCCGCAGAUGAGCGCUGGAUCCCAGCUGCCGGUGGUUCUUAGAGGAAGAUUCCUUUACUUUCCUCGGAAGAUUUGUGACGGUUUACAAGCGCUGGGGCUUGCCAACAUAUUUCAAAUAUGUGCUUGGCCUCCCAGCCGCAUCCACAUUCCCCUUAUCACUCCGGUGGAGGAGUCAGAGAUCCCAGCCAAGGCGUCACUUUCCCUUCUCCGCGUCCGCCUGCUGCCAGCGGAGCCCUCCGCCCCGCGCUCGUUCGCUGGUUCGCAGCCUCGGGUGUGUGUCCAGGGGCCGCUUGCAUAAACUCUGUGUUACAUGAGAACACUGAGAUCCAGAGCUGGUGGCAGAGACAGGAUUCGAACUCUGGCUGUGUGCGCUUUGGUCAUCACUGCCGACCGAAAUCACAGCUCCACCCGCGUUCCUCUCUGCUUGGGUUUGCAUAUUCAGCUGGAGAAAAGUGAUUUAAAACAGGAACACCCACGGUGGCCCUGAGUCUGCCUAAGUUCUGGAAGCGGGGCAGCCUCAGGACUCUGAACUUGGCUGGUGUUUUCCCCUAGCCCCAGGGGCCCAGGGACCAGGAUUUGGCCUGUCUUAGGCCCCAAACCACCUGCUCGGCCCAGCGUCCAGCCGGCCUGCGUGUGAGUGAGGCAGAGAGGGGACCCUCCGCCGUCCUUAUAUACCGGGGUUAUUUUUAACCCGGCCUUCCAGAACAUUACGGAGCUUCCUCUCUCCGACUCGCAGGAAGCCCUACUUGGCUGUGUUUCCUGCUAACACGCGGCCCUGAGAUUGCUGAGAACAACAGGCUCAAGACUGCUCGGCUCCGGGGAAAAAAAAAACCUGGCCCCCUUUCAAAGCCCUGACAAAACCCUUUAAGAGCCCAGCGCUCCCGCCAGCCAGAGCAUGGCCCCCACAGGGCUGACAGAUUGGUCCAGACUGUGUCCAGGGCCCUCAGGCAGGGGGGCCCCAACUCCAUCACCCCUUCCCAAGGUGGGCAGAAAAACCUGUGCUCUCCACCCCACCCCCACCACGCCCCUUGGAGAGACAAAUACUUGCCUUGGUGGAUUUUUUUAUGCUUCUGUUUUUUUUUUUAAUUUUUACCUGUGUAUUUUUACUGAGGGGAAAUUCACGUAACAUAAAAUUAGUCAUUUUCAAGCAGAAAAUUUGGUGGCAUUGAGUCCAUUCUCCGUGCUGUGCAACUAUCACCUCUACCGAGUUCCCAAACAUUUCCACCACACCAGAAGGAAAUCCAGCCCCCAUCAGCAGUCACUCCCUGUUCCUCCUCCUCCAGCCCCCGGCAACCACUGAUCUGCUUUCUGUCUCUACGGCUUGGCCUCUCGUGGACAUUUCUUAGAGAUGGAAUCGUGCGUUGUGUGGCUUCUAGCGUCUGUCUUCU